GACGAACGCUGGCGGCGUGCUUAACACAUGCAAGUCGAACGGAAAGGCCCUGCUUUUGUGGGGUGCUCGAGUGGCGAACGGGUGAGUAACACGUGAGUAACCUGCCCUUGACUUUGGGAUAACUUCAGGAAACUGGGGCUAAUACCGGAUAGGAGCUCCUGCUGCAUGGUGGGGGUUGGAAAGUUUCGGCGGUUGGGGAUGGACUCGCGGCUUAUCAGCUUGUUGGUGGGGUAGUGGCUUACCAAGGCUUUGACGGGUAGCCGGCCUGAGAGGGUGACCGGACACAAUGGGACUGAGAUACGGCCCAGGCUCCUACGGGAGGCAGCAGUGGGGAAUAGUGCACAAUGGGCGGAAGCCUGAUGCGGCAGCUCCGCGGGGGGGAAGAGGGCGUGGGGGUGGUAAACCGCUUUCGCCGGUGACGAAGCGUGCGUGACGGUAAUGGGUAAAGAAGCACCGACUAACUACGUG
rnacentral:rRNA from 1 species